rnacentral:rRNA from 1 species
CCGGUUGAUCCCGCCGGAGGUUACUGCUAUCGGUGUUCGACUAAGCCAUGCAAGUCAUAUGUUCUUCGUGAACAUGGCAUACUGCUCAGUAACACGUGGAUAACCUGCCCUUGGGUCUGGGAUAACCCCGGGAAACUGGGGAUAAUACCGGAUAACGCAUAUGUGCUGGAAUGCUUUAUGCGUAAAACGGAUUCGUCCGCCCAAGGAUGGGUCUGCGGCCUAUCAGGUAGUAGUGGGUGUAAUGUACCUACUAGCCAACAACGGGUACGGGUUGUGAGAGCAAGAGCCCGGAGAUGGAUUCUGAGACAUGAAUCCAGGCCCUACGGGGCGCAGCAGGCGCGAAAACUUUACAAUGCGGGAAACCGUGAUAAGGGAACACCGAGUGCCAGCAUCAUAUGCUGGCUGUCCAGAUGUGUAAAGUACAUCUGUUAGCAAGGGCCGGGCAAGACCGGUGCCAGCCGCCGCGGUAACACCGGCGGCCCGAGUGGUGACCGUUAUUAUUGGGUCUAAAGGGUCCGUAGCCGGUUUGGUCAGUCCUCCGGGAAAUCUGAUAGCUUAACUGUUAGGCUUUCGGGGGAUACUGCCAGGCUUGGAACCGGGAGAGGUAAGAGGUACUACAGGGGUAGGAGUGAAAUCUUGUAAUCCCUGUGAGACCACCUGUGGCGAAGGCGUCUUACCAGAACGGGUUCGACGGUGAGGGACGAAAGCUGGGGGCACGAACCGGAUUAGAUACCCGGGUAGUCCCAGCCGUAAACUAUGCUCGCUAGGUGUCAGGCAUGGCGCGACCGGGUCUGGUGCCGCAGGGAAGCCGUGAAGCGAGCCACCUGGGAAGUACGGCCGCAAGGCUGAAACUUAAAGGAAUUGGCGGGGGAGCACAACAACGGGUGGAGCCUGCGGUUUAAUUGGACUCAACGCCGGACAACUCACCGGGGACGACAGCAAAAUAUAGGCCAGGCUGAAGACCUUGCCUGAAUCGCUGAGAGGAGGUGCAUGGCCGUCGCCAGUUCGUACUGUGAAGCAUCCUGUUAAGUCAGGCAACGAGCGAGACCCA